CUCCGGUUGAUCCUGCCGGCGGGCACCGCUAUUGGAAUACGCUUAAGCCAUGCGAGUCGAGAGGGUUCGGCCCUCGGCGCACCGCUCAGUAACACGCGGAUAAUCUGCCCUUGGAUCGGGGAUAAGCUCGCGAAAGUGAGUAUAAUACCCGAUAGGUCUCGAAUGCUGGAAUGCUUUGAGGUCGAAAGUUGCGGCGUCCAAGGAUGAGUCUGCGGCCUAUCAGGCUGUAGUGGGGGUAAAGGCCCCACUAACCUAUUACGGGUACGGGUCUUGGGAGAGAUCGCCCGGAGAUGGGUUCUGAGACAUGAACCCAGGCCCUACGGGGCGCAGCAGGCGCGAAAACUUCGCACUGUGGGAAACCACGACGAGGGUAUUCCAAGUGCUUAUACUAAGUAUAAGCUGUUUAUCUGUCUAAAAAACAGGUAGAGUAAGGGCUGGGUAAGACGGGUGCCAGCCGCCGCGGUAAUACCCGCAGCCCAAGUGGUGUUCGUUUUUAUUGGGUCUAAAACGUCCGUAGCCGGCUUGGUAAAUUCUUGGGAAAAUCGGGCAGCUUAACUGUUCGAAGUCCGGGGAGACUGCCAGGCUUGGGAUCGGGGGAAGUUAGAGGUACUUUCAGGGUAGGGGUGAAAUCCUGUAAUCCUGAAAGGACCACCAGUGGCGAAGGCGUCUAACUACAACGAAUCCGACGGUAAGGGACGAAGCCCUGGGGCACAAACGGGAUUAGAUACCCCGGUAGUCCAGGGUGUAAACGCUGCGGACUUGGUGUUGGGAAGCCCUCGAGGUUGCCCAGUGCCGGAGAGAAGUUGUUAAGUCCGCUACCUGGGGAGUACGGUCGCAAGACUGAAACUUA
rnacentral:rRNA from 1 species